AUGACACUGCAUCUGCAACUGUGAGGAAGAUAUUGUCCUCGCCGAUCAAGCUUGUAAAACUCGAGGCGUGAAGCUUGUCCAUUACCACUGGGCCUGGAUUUGCCAGGAUAAGCUGUGGAGCAACAACGUCGCCACUUUUCUGGUAAGCCAAUUUCAAUAACUAUGCAGUAGUAUGAUUCAUGAGCUUUUUUUUUUUUUUUUUUAAAUAGAAAUAGACAUGCUUGAAACAACCAGCGUUUUUAGUUUGUGACAUAGGAGGUGAUAUUGAUGUGCAAUGUGUUUAUGCAUUUACCUGAACCUCUCUCUUCUCGAGACUCCUGUGUAACCCUUCCAAGGCAUGGAUGCCACUGGUGUCGAUAUCGGUAACAGCUGAAUGGAAAUAAAAAAAGAAAAAAAAAAUCAUCACAAGAAAUUAAUUUAAAAGUAAAGCAGUGAUUGGAUAGCUGCAAUUUAAAAGUUACAUAUUAUUAUUAAUGGUCAUAUAUUAUUUACUGAUUGACUUUAUUUAAAUUUAUACAGACAUUACCUGAAUUAAGCGUUUUGAUGUUUAUUAUUUGGUAACUAUUUACACUGCAGAUUAGAUAUUAAGUUGAUUGCAUAUAAUCUUUAUAAGAUAGAAAAUUUAUAAGAUCUAUAUUAUUUUUAUCAAAAUUAUUAUUUAAAAAUCACAUUUACCAUAUACACUCUAUUUUUGUUCCAUAAAAAUAGUAGAAGUCAGAACGCUUUAAUAUCAAAUAGAGCCCUAAUUUAAUUGUCUAGCUUAUAAUUAAUAAUAAAAUACUUGUAGAAAAUUGCUUACGUGACAUCUCAACAAUUAAAAACUGUAUUCUUGGUUGAUAGGUAGCAGCUUUUACUUCUUCUUCUUCAUCUUCCAACCAUCUCAAUAUCCUGCCCCCACCCAAAGAACAGGGAAAAAAAAAAUGUCAAGUUUCAGCAUUAGGAAAACUCCAAGGAACUCUAGCCAAUUUAGCCGAUGUUCUAAAAUACAACAUCUUAUCAAAUAUCAGCCAUUAAUUAACACCGAUGCCAACUCUCUUCCCACUAGAUUUCAUCUAUAUCCAUCAUACCGUUUGUUUCGUAACCAAACCUAGAUUCAAGAUAGUCUUUCGUAUUAUUCUAUACAUUUGAAGCUCAACAAUUUUAGGCCGUACAUGCUAAUAUAUAUGUCUAGAAUUUUGCCUAGAUAUAGCCGUAAGUUUAUUUCAAGAAACUAGAGUUAAUCAUGCAACUCCAUUCUCAUGUUGAGGGAAAGGGUUCAAAUAUACCCGGGUAGGGAAUAUGGGGGUAUAUUUCUCCGAGAGUGGUAGUAGACCCAGUCCAUCUACACAUAAAAAAAUGGGGCUAUAACUAGACUAAGUUAACAGGCUGAGUCUCAAUAGACACUUCACUUGCAAUUCAAUGUCAGUAUUAGAAAAGAAAAAAGUAUUGAGGCAUCAAAUUUAUACCUCUCCUUAACGUAAUUAGAGUUUGAAAAGUAAAUUGCUGAAUCAACUCUCACGAUCAAAACACCUGGAACCUUGGUUGCUUCGGGAUAUUGUUGGAUGUUUCUGUACACAGUUGUCCUGGGAACCUUUCCCAGAAUUGCUGUCCGAGGUCUGGUAACUUGUAAGAGAAUCUUGGCAAAGGAUAUGGAGACCUGUCACAACACAAUGACAAUAUUAGGUUAGAUGAUAUAUCAUAUAGAGAUAGUUUAUAUUUAACAUAAAACAUAACUUGAUAUAGUUAAGUUCUCACCGCAAUUAAGAGGCCUAUUUCAACUGAGGAAAACACAACACCAAAGAAGGCUCCCAUGCAUGCAACAAAAUCAAAUUUAUCAAUCUUCCAUAAUAAAGUUGCUGCUCCAAUGUCGAUUAGGCCAAUCACAGCAUUUAUAAUUAUGGAAGCCAGAAUGGCAUUUGGGGUGUAUUUAAAAAGAGGGGUUAUGAAUUCUAAGGUUAGAAAUACAACGCAGGACAUAACAAUGUUAGAGACCGCUGUUUCGCAACCAGCCAUGAAAUUUACGGCUGAUCGAGAAAAUGAACCUGCAAAUAAUGAGUGAACAAAUCACUAAACUAUCCACAAUAAUGACGGUGCAAUUCAUUUGCAUAGUAAUUGGAAAGUAUCUAGGUUCAUGUGAUUUUAUUUAUUAUUCCUGCCCACCUGUGGCCACAUAGCAGGAAGUCAUUGAGCCUACAACGUUCAUUGCCCCUAGUGCUACCAUUUCUUUGUUACCGUCAAGUUGAUAGUCCUUCAUGGCAGCAAAUGUUCUUCCAAUUGCUAUGGCUUCCUGAUAAAUUCACAAAAAAUAACAACAACAACAACACAAUAAUAAAAAAAAUAAGUAAAAAAAAUUAGGUACAAUAACUGAUAAUGAAAUUCUGUUCAGAUGGAUUCUGACUUUGGCUUACCGUCAAUCCUAUCAUCCCAGCCACCACACCUAUUCUAAAACCCUUUAGAAGAUAAUCACCACUGAAGUAUAUUUCAUUCACAGAUGAGGGAUUGAUUCCUUUCUUUAUGUUUUUCACCUUCAUAAAUCAAUGAAACAGUUAGUGUUAUUGUUAAUACUAUACAAUAUGCUGAUAUCACAUCUCAUAUCUAAAACUUUUCAUCAUUUGCAAAUAACAUAAGUACUAUCAAAAUUUUUUGGUUAGAAAGAGUUACAAGGGAGACUCUUACAAUUUGAACACCUUGCUUAUCUGCACGCGUUAUAUAUACAAAAAAUGUUGACAGAAUGACCGAUAUUAAUGGAGCAAUUGCUGGCACCCAGAAGAAUUUCUUGUUCUUCUUUCCCUGUUUACCGAAUCAUGUGGGAGUUUUUAGAGACAGCUUGGAAGAAUAGAAUAGUGUCACUAACCAGAGAUGAAAAGUAUAGGCUCUUACAAUGAACUUCGCAAAGAGAAGGAAACUUAAAAAGCUUGCCCCAAUGGCUAUAGUCUGCCAGUUCCACUGCAAAACAUUGUUAAUUUAAGAUUUAGUCACUUGUUUUGGCCAGCUUAUUUUGAGCUAGGGGUUCUUGUUUAUGAAUGUUUCGUUUCCAAUUAAAAGAACAGUACAAGAAAACUUAAUUCUUAAAAGUAGUAAAAUAAAAUUAGAACUUACUCCGUGGUGGGCUGAAGCGACGACUGAGUGCAUUACAGAGAUAAUAUCGGAUUUUUUAGUGAACUUUUUUAUGCCCAGAAAACCCUUAAGCUGUUGGAGGGCAAUUGUAACUGCUGCUCCUCCCAUAAAACCAACUAUGGCAGCAUGGGAAAGGAAGUCAAUGAGGAAACCCAACCUAAUAAAUAACACAAACCGUCAAACCGCCCAUAAAGAUUCGAAAUCAUUUUAUAUAUAUGUCUUUUAAUUCAGUUUCUUCUGAAAUGAAGAGAAAUAAGUUCCUGAAUACCUGAAAAACCCAAGGGUGACUUGUGUAAUCCCGGCAAAGAAAGUAGCAGUGAAAGCAAGCCGCUGAUACUGGGCUUUUUCAUUUAUGGGAUCAAGCUCAUUCUGAAGCAUGGUUCCCAGCAAGAGAGAUACCACUGCAACUGGCCCUAUAGCUAUAUCUCUUGAACUACCCAUAAAGGCAUAAAUCAAUGGUGGAACAAAGCUGGAGUCUGCAAAAGUGAAAAACAAUAUCAAACACCUUAUCAUUAAAUAGAAGGAGGGGCAAAAAAAAAGGCUUUUUCAGGUAACAAAUUUUGAGAGGUGGUGCAACAACUUACACAGUCCAUACUGUGGAUCCAAGUUUGCAAGCUUUGCAUAUCCAAUAUCCUGUUUAUCCAACAAAAUAAUACUAUAAGAAUUGUUUCAAUGUGAAAAUGUGGAGAUUCAUCUAUGUCCCGUAUGUGGUAAACUUGCCUGAGGAAUACAGAGACUUGCAAUUGUCAGCCCAGCUAUGAGAUCUCCUCUUAAUUUUUUCAAAUUAUAUUUUCUCCCCCAUUCAAAAAUGGGAAAUAUUGUCUGGAUGCCUAAGAUGAACUUUUGAGACCUUGAUUGAUCCUUGAAGGGACGCAGAGGAUCAUCAGCGAAGAAUGUUUCUUUCAGAGUUUCUCGAAAUUCCUUGAAGAGGUUUUGCUUCGGGGGAACUCCCACCUUGUGAAUGUAUCGCUCGCUCUGCGAGUGACGGUGAGAAGAUGACAGGCUUCUGAUAUCCAUCUCUUUUGUUUGAGCCUCUUCAGUUGAGCGAUCCAUUGAAUGCGAGGACUAUAAAUUCACCUGCAACUGCAAUGCAGCAAAAAUCAGAAGUCACUAAAAUAAAGCUCUGACAGUAUUACAUGCAUAUCAAGCAAACAAUAGCUGCAUCCGGAGGAGAAGCAUCCUUUAUCAGAUUAUAUGUUUUCCGCUUACAUGCAUUAUUUUGCCAUCAACUCAGAUUAUAUUUUUUCCGCUUACAUGCUUUAUUUUGCCAUCAACUCAACUAACUUCUAAGGACCGAAAUUCAAAAACAGGACGUUUUUACUUAUGACUAUAACUGCUAAAGUAAUAUUUUGUGAUUAACUUUGUUAAGCAAGUUGUGAAAGGCGAGAAGAUUGAAGCUAACCACGACAAGUGAAUGAACCUAGAGGAAGCAAAAGGGUUAAAGCCUUGACGUGCAAAUCCUUUUUGAACAUGCAACGAGCUUCCAGACUUGCACUUAAAUAAAUUCUUAAAGAACUGGAGGUCAAACUUUGCAAGUUGAGAGAGAGAAUAACACUAGCAAUGAGCUAUGAAUGUGGAUCUAUUACUUGUCAUGUACAUGAUAGAAAUCAAAGUGGAAACUAAAUUUAAUAUUGCUAUGAACCGACGCUAGGAUUAUUC
rnacentral:lncRNA from 1 species